UACGAAGGGUGCGAGCGUUAUUCGGAUUCACUGGGCGUAAAGCGUGUGUAGGCUGUUCGAUAAGUUUGAUGUGAAAUCCCACUGCUUAAAGGUGGAACUGCAUUGAAUACUGUCGGACUAGAGUAUCGGAGGGGUGAACGGAAUUCCUGGUGUAGAGGUGAAAUUCGUAGAUAUCAGGAGGAACAACGGAGGCGAAGGCGGUUCACUGGACGAUUACUGACGCUAAGACACGAAAGCGUGGGGAGCAAACAGG
rnacentral:rRNA from 1 species